CCCCCGACCCCUGCACUGAGGGCCACCCCUGUGGGAUGUGCUGGUGAACAGGACCUGACUGACCUCAAGGAGCCGCCCUCCUCUGAAGAGGGAAGAAAAGCCCCCCACGGGCGUUUCCUGCUUCCAGGAGAGCCCGCCAAGGGCUGCCUCCGUGCCCUUCCGCAGUAGCAGCUGAGCGAGGUGCUCCCGGGGGGACGGGCGGGCCACAGACCUGCAGGUUCUGCACAAAGCAAAAGGAAGCUGACAUCACCAGAGGGAGGUAAACAGAAAGACACUUCCUCUUUCGCUUCCAAGGGCUCCUGCCCGAUUCAGAAGGUUCUCAAACUACAGAACAAUUUCCCUCCCAGCCUGGACGGGGGCUUUGUGACCUGUUCUGGGGCUGCCCCCUUUGUGGCACAGAGAGGGUUAAAAACAGACAAAGCCAGUGGGAGUCCUAGAGCUAGAACAGAAUCCCAGAGCAGGGCUGGGGGGUCGGUUUCCAUGCCAACAGCUGCCCCACCCCAUCCCGUCCCCUUCGAGGGUGGGGAAACUCAGUCCCCAAGGGUUCAAGCCAUCUCUGCACAGAUGACUUGAACAGACAAGGCCUCAGUCCUGUGGUUUGGGGGCCCAGGAAACUCGCCUCACCCAAGCAGCUUUCUCACCAUUGGCUCCAGAUGCCUACAUGUCCGUCGUCGUGUCAUUACUCCCUGGGGUGUCUCGUCUCGGCUGGAGCAGCAGGGAAACCUCGGUUGGGGGGAGCUUCCACUCUGCCACGGCAAGUCCUCUUCUCUCUCUGGUCUCAGUCUCCUUCCCGGCGGAAGGGGCUCCGGCAGCUGCCUCACAGAGCCACUGGGAAGACUACUGAGGCACAACAGUACCAAAAACCAAGAAGGAAGCCCCUGUCCAGGCCAGACCAGACCCCGAGCCAAAGCGAACACCCAGAAGUGCACGAGGCGGCAUGAGGUUGGCGGGGACACAAGGUAAGUGUCCCGUCCCUGCCUUCGGCAGCCCAGAUGCCUUGGGGAGGAGCCCCCCAGGAUGGCGAGCUUGAGCCUGAUGCCCUCAUCAGGCCCCCCGUGAAGAAGAGAGAGGAGCACCGAGUGUCCUUUCUGAGUGCCCAGGCUGGGAGGGUGCUCUGUGGCCUCCUGCGGCCAAGGCCAGCGCCUGCGCUCAGCUGGCUCCAGCCUGUGACACUUUGAUGUUCCCCAAACUGGAGUCCCCGGAGCCACGUCCAGCUGGCGCUUCCUAACAGGUAUUUUUCAUCACGGAGAAAGGAAAGCCCUCGUGGAAGAGCUGCAGGUGGCCUCGAGGGCAGCCACGCCACGCCUGCUCCCGGGGCUCAUCGGUUCCGUGGCCGGGACCCUCGUGCCCGCCCAUGACUCCUCCACAGUUAUGGUCCCAGGAACUCCGGGACCUGCGUGUCCCCAGACCAGUCCGGUCAGUGCCGCCGGGCAGAUGCUUGCGGGAGGCCAGCGCCCGCGGCUGGAGGUUCCUCCGGGAAUGAAAACCGCCCCUGAGGGUGUAUCGUGGUACCUGCUCAGGGCUGCUGGGGACCCCGCCGUGAGCAAGGAUCCCAAUUCCUGUUCUCUGAGCUUCAGGACAGGAGCCAGGGCACAGGGUACGAGCCGGGGAGGAAAACGAUGAUGGGGACGCGGGUUUCGGAGUGUGUGUCGCCGAAGACGUUGACGUUUUGGAUCAGGUGGCCCUGAAGACCUCGGUCUCUCUUCAAGAGCUCCGCCAAGGUCGCAAGUUGUGAGGGCGCUGAGACCGUCCGGCACGUGCUGUUCAGGUGUUGCUCCGGCUCGGUGUUCCCCGCAGACCCAUCGAUGGAGCAUUUGUCAAAUACACCAAUGCAGUUGGGCCAGGAGGCGGAGCCAGAGCUGCGGCGGUGAGAGUGGGUGCUUAGCCUUCCUGCCACGAUGGCAAAACUCCGGGUGAGGACAAACCGCUUCCGGGAAGACUGGACCCCGGCACCGGCUGUCGCCCCAGUGCCGUCGGUGCAGGGACGUGGCGAGGCGGCCUCCUGACGCCCGGGGGCUGAGAAGCCUGAUGCAGAAAUCAGGGCAUGAGGUGAGCUCGGUCUGUUGGAGGAGAAAUCAUUUUACAUAAACGCACUUUUGGCUAAAGAAAGAUUUCGCAGUAAGGGAAAGAGCAGAGUUCGGGGUUGACUUGGCGCUCUCACACGAUUCUUUAGAACGGGUUUAAUUAGAACAGGUUCCAAAUGGCUGUAGGAAAACCCCACAGUCCAUACUAACCCAGAGACCCCUUGCUAAAUCCAGGCUGUGUCUGGGGCAGGGGGCCGCGGUGCUGGGGACAAUCGCCCCAUUUGACUUGGAUUCCCACCGUGGUAUGAGCCGGUCACUCAGUCGCUGAGGCGGGGGGCGAUGCGGCUGGUCCACGCCCGGCUGGCUCCAGGCUCCGGGCUGCUCUGUGCUGGGUACGGGGUGAACGGUGUCUCUGAGAAGGACGGACUGACACCAGGCUUAGCAAUCCCCCCACUGCUCCCCCAGCACACGCAGCAGUCCAGCGUCCCCAGACCUCAGCUUGAGGCCUGCCGCCCCCCCCCCCCCGGCCAUCUUGGACAGUGGUCUGGAGCAGGGGGACCUGACAGUCUGGGAAGGUCUGGGGCUGCGGGGACCUGCUGACUUGUCUCCGCACCCCUGACACACGGCAGAUGCUCAGUGAUCGCUGCUGUGCGUGCAUCGGGGAACUUGUCUCCUGGAUCCGUUUUCGGAGACUCAUUAAAUGCCGGUCAACGCCAUGCCUGACAAACACAAGGGCAGGCCUGCCCUAAUCCAGGACGAUCUUGUCCUAAAGUAGCUUCACAUCUGCAAAGAUGUUUCCAAGUAAGGUCACGUUCCAAGGCACAGGGGACAUGAGUUUGGAGGGACGCUUUCCCCUCCAGCUAAGAGUCUGAGGGAUCUCCCCCCUUCCCCAUAUGAUCUCACAGCUGUCCGCUCAUAUGUUCCCAUGGGGGGGCUGCUUCUCAGGGGUGCAGGGCUGAUGCACAGAGCUGUGCGGCGAGAGGCUGGGGCUCGGCCUGGGGCAGGGUGGGUGGGGGGUGUCCCGAGUGGCUCCCACAAGCCCGAGACUGGGUACCAAGGCACAGGUCAGAACUGGGAAUGGCCAGGCCGGGGGUGGGGGUGGGGAUGCGGCCAGAGUGGAGCAGAGGAUGGGGGGGGACAGGGCGGGACAGGGGGAGGGAAGGCCGUGGGCAAGUUCUGGAGGGGGUGGCUAGGUGCGAGGAUGCCCCUGGGUUCCUGGGCUCCCUCUCCUGGGUUUCUCCUGGAGCAAGCAGACACUCCCGUGCCCGUCCAGCAGGGGAGGAAGACCCCAGCCUGGGUAAGUGGAAGGUGAGGAGCUGUCUCCCUUCUCCAAGAUCUGACCCCCAGCGGGAGCCGGAACGAGCUCUUAAACCCAUGCACAGGGUGAGGGCUGUUUUCAGGUAAUGAGAACAUCUGAGACCCAAAGCCUGUGGUGCUUUUAACGAAAUGCACCCUGACUGACUGUGCUGGCCCGGCCCUUCCAGACCAUUUGCUGUCAGGGCCCUCGGUCCUCCCAGGAGGGGGUGGAGUGCACUCAGGGCCUGCCGCCUCCUCCCUCAGCAGGAGUGUUCCUAGAUGCAUGGAGGGAAGUGGGAGUGGCUCCUUCCUUCCUUGAAGCCCUUGGAAGGGCUUCAGGGCUUGAUGAGGACUAAGGACAUCUCAGUGGGUCAGGGGUGAAUGGGGGAGGGGGGACCCAGGUCCCCCAGGGAUCCACUGAGUCCCCUGUCCACCAGAUAGCUCUCCGUCUCCCUCUUCUCCAGGUGUGCACACGCACGCACAUGCACACGCACGUGCAGAGGCAAACACACAGGUGUGAGUACACACCUGGAAAUGCCGCCGCCAGCUGGGGAAGGAGGGAUGGAGCUCGGGAGCAGGGGGUCCUCCAGGCCUCUGCCCCACCUUGACCAUGAGGUCAGCCUGGCUUUGGCUUUAGAGACGAAGGCCGGGGUGGGACAGGAGAGCCCCCUGCCGCUCUGACCUGAGCCGGUCCAAGAAACACACCUGCUGGCUGGGGACCUGGCAAGCCCAGGACUUCUGAGCCUUCUCUGUGGGCGGGAAUAGGACCACCCUCCUGGGCCGGGACAGAGAGUGCCCUGCUACGACUGAGCUCCACAGGGAGGUGGAGCCCUGGGAGGAGAAAUCCUGUCUCUUUGGGGAAAGUCGUAUUUCCAGUCUGGCAGCAGAGGCCCCCCUCUGUGUCCCUGAGGCCCUGCUCUGUCCUUUCUGAGCUUGUUCAGGACCCAGCUGGAAGCCCUGCCCUGGGUGGUGAAGAGACAGGGAGGCCACCAGCCCUCCCCAGUGUCCAUGCCAACACGCACCGUGUGUCGGGGGAGACAGGCACCACCUGCACUUACAAAACACUGUGAGGUGACGGCUUUGAACCCUCACCGUCCUGGGAGCUACAGACUGGACUGACUUUGGCCCGGUGGUCUGAAAAGCCCUUCUAGUAUACCGUUCCCAUGAGGGAGCUGUUGUUAACUGCCCAGCAGACGUCAGGAUCCCUGCAGAGGGGCUGAAGGGCUCACUCGGGGGUGAGCCUGUCUCACCCGGGAAGGCUCUGGCCACACACAGAGCAAGGUCAGCCUCGGGCAGGGGCCUGGGCUUUGGAGGCAGACUGGCCCAGGUUUGCCUCCUCGCGCUGACUACUGGACGCUUUUGGGUCCGUGGCUGACCUGCCUGAGCCUCGGGUCCUGAUCUACGAAGUGAGGGGGCACGUCGUCAUGGUGUUGCAGGCAACGGAGAAGAGAAUGCACGUGUCUACAUAAGGCAGCGCGCACCGGCUGGGCGGGCAGACUUUGCCAGCAUCACCACAGCCUGCCCCUCACCUCUGUCGGCCCUGGCCAGGCUGGGUAGUGUCGCAGGGGGUCCCCCGGAGGGGAGAGUCCAGGAGCAGGGACAUCUGUCUUGGACUGAGGGUCCAACUGUGCCUUCAUGCCAGCCUCAUGGGGUCCGUCUGGCUCUCCCCUUCGCAGCUGGCAAAGGGUGCAGGGCGGGCUCGGAGGGGUCUUGUCGCUGCCAGCGCUCGUGCCCUUUGCCCCGGACGGGAUGUAGGGCAGCACAUUGUCUUCUGAAGAGUGCCGCUGGAGAGGGGCUGGGCUGGCCCGAGGCUCCGGAGCCGGGAGCAGGUGAGGGGGAAGGCUGGCUAGGAGGUUAGAAGCCCAGGGGCAGCACAGAGGUCACGGGCCUCAUGGUCAGAGGAACACGAUGGGGGCUUGAGAGCUGCAUUGGGGUGUGGAGGGUCGCCCUAACUGGGAAGCAGGGAGGCAGGUACAGGGGGGUGGGGGACUUCCUGAAGGGAGGUGGUAUCUGAUCCAAGGAAAGGUAAACCAGAGUUACCGGGGAGGGAAGGGGAAAGAGCCUUCUAGGGCAGCAGGAACCACAGGUGCAGAGGAAAAUAACCUUGAGUCACCUUGGCCUCUCUCAAGUGCAGGUUAGCGCCUUUCUUCCUCUUUUCCACCCAUUCACUGUCAGCUGCCUCUUUUUACUAGUCUUGAUUCCCGGUCUGGAUGGGUUAAGAUAGUUUUCACAUCUGUCCCCUCCUCCCGCCUGAGCACCGGCAGCGGCUGACCACAGUGGCAGCUGACGACCCGUCGGGCACCGCUGGCUUCCCUGUUUCCUGUGGAAGUCACCUUUUGUCCCCAUCCUUGCAGCCUGCCCGCAGUCUCGGGACAUCGGGGACAGAUUUACGAAGUGUUUCGUAUUUACGAAGAACAUGUCUGACUGUGGUAACACGGGCCCUCCUGCCCCACCUGCCGAACACUCACACGGCCUCCGCUCCCAUCCCGAACUCAGCGUGGGCACCCGUUGUCCUGCCUUACACUCUUCUGACCCUGGUGUGUCUGUCCACGCUUGGACUUUGCUACCUGAUGCCAUAGCGCGUGUUUUCCUGUGACUUUAUCCUUCUAACUCAGUACUGGGUCGGCGAGUCCCUGCUGAAUGGCCAGCACCCUGCGGGGCAGCUGGACCCUCACCACGGACGGGGGGACUUUAUCCUCUUACUCAUCAAACAUCUCGGGAUGUUUGGAUGUUUGGGAGCUGGGCCCGGGAGGCGAUGUAUGCAGGGUGCGAAGGGCCGGCCUGGGGUCCCCAGCCUGUGGGCGCUGGGCCGGGUCCAUGUCGGGGCAGAGCCGAUUUCUACCCCAGGACGCCCCAGAACUGCCAGGCCCGAUGGUGGCCGGCUCACGGGAGACGUGUGAUGGACGUUUCUCGUGCAGAACGGGAGUCACUCCUCAGGGAGGGGAGCACUGUUGCUUCCAUUUUGCCACCAACAACGCAGAGCAUUGACCCGAGGUGACGCGGGCCUGAGAAGCCUGGCGGGACCUGGACACCGCCUAGGAUCCCUGCAGGACCACGGGGCCAGCCUGACACAUGGCCCAGCGCCGCUCGGGGCAGGGCCUGGUGGAGGGCUUGUUGGAUCUGGUGGCUGCAGUGAUGGGCCGCCCUUUGCACCCCUGCGAGCCCCAGGAGGCGCUAAGCUCCGAGAUUAUUCAGCCUCCGAGGGAGCCUCGCAGUUAGCACUUCCCAACACAUGGCUUCCUUCUCUUCAUGAACAUUUGGAAGAGAAAACUACCAUCGCCAGUGGGGCUCUUCAGCUGCUUAGGGCAGGAGGUCAGAGGUGUCUGGCAAGGUGGUGGCCGCCAUGCCGUGGACCCUGAUCCGGGCCAGGGCAGAGCAGUGGGCAGGACAGACUUCCCUCACCAGCUCCUCGGCUGCAGGACCCAAGUACUCGCUUGUGGGCUCUGCACACACCGCGCCGUCCCCUCUGCCUCGCCUGCCGGGCGCUCCUCUUCUCCCUGGGAAAUGCCUUUUCAGCUUCGUGGCUGGUCUCAGGGGCUUCUCCUCCUGCCUGAGCCCCCCGGAACAUGGCUCUGAUUCCUCAGUGCCUCUGCCUCCCUUCUCCCGUGGGUGCGCCCCUGCCGGCCCAGGAGCUCCUGGGGGGAGGGCUUGUGUUUUAUUCUUUGUGCACCCAGCUGCUAUCAUAGGACCAGACCUAUAGUAGGUGCUCAAUAAACACCCCAACAGAAAUGAGGACACUGAGGCUUGGGGGUGAGGCGCCUUCCUAGCUAGUGCCUUCAGACGGCCUGGGUCCGGAAGUGAUCGCAUCUCAGCGCUUCACGGUGAACCUUUUCUCCCAACAUGCUGGUCCGCUCAUUUCCUGGAGAAAACUGUUUAUUCAGACUCGUGUUUUUCUUUGGGGAUAUGCAAACUUUACCCAGAAAAGCCAAAGCCUGGCUUAUAUUUUCACAUGGAAAACCAGCAAGGCCUUGGCUCUGGAUUUUUGUGAGGA